rfam:Pseudomonas sp. Chol1 Contig58, whole genome shotgun sequence.
GAAAUUGUCGUCUUCGGCGGCUAGUAGGGCCUGGAUGAAGUCGCCGGGAAUCUCCUCGAAGCGGACAGGAGAACGACGCAUUUCGCCGAACUCCGCGAUGAGCUUGUUAUCGGCGCUGUAGACCCGCAGCGGGAUCUGCAGCUGAAUGCUGCGUAGCGAAUCCACGGACGGCAGGUUCGGGCUCAGAUAGAGAAAGGCACCGCUGAGGCUGAGCGCAAAUGCGCAAAAAAGUGCAAAGCAAGACCAGAAGAGAAACUUCAGAAAGCGCAUCGGGGUUCUUGAAAUCCGGAAUAU